rnacentral:rRNA from 1 species
CAUGCAAGUCGAGCGCCCGUAGCAAUACGGGAGCGGCAGACGGGAGAGUAACACGCGGGAACGUGCCCUUCAGUUCGGAACAACCCAGGGAAACUUGGGCUAAUACCGGAUACGCCCUUCGGGGGAAAGAUUUAUCGCUGAUGGAGCGGCCCGCGUCUGAUUAGCUAGUUGGUGAGGUAACGGCUCACCAAGGCGACGAUCAGUAGCUGGUCUGAGAGGAUGAUCAGCCUCACUGGGACUGAGACACGGCCCAGACUCCUACGGGAGGCAGCAGUGGGGAAUAUUGGACAAUGGGCGCAAGCCUGAUCCAGCCAUACCGCGUGGGUGAAGAAGGCCUUCGGGUUGUAAAGCCCUUUUGUUGGGAAAGAAAUCCUAUCGAUUAAUACUCGGUGGGGAUGACGGUACCCAAAGAAUAAGCACCGGCUAACUUCGUGCCAGCAGCCGCGGUAAUACGAAGGGUGCAAGCGUUACUCGGAAUUACUGGGCGUAAAGCGUGCGUAGGUGGUUGUUUAAGUCUGUUGUGAAAGCCCUGGGCUCAACCUGGGAAUUGCAGUGGAUACUGGGCGACUAGAGUGUGGUAGAGGAUAGUGGAAUUUCCGGUGUAGCAGUGAAAUGCGUAGAGAUCGGAAGGAACAUCUGUGGCGAAGGCGACUAUCUGGGCCAACACUGACACUGA